UAUCCUCUCAUUGGCUCACACAUCUAUCUAUAAAUAGAGGCUAACAGAAGACCCCAAGUUGAGACUGAGCUCAUCGAGAGUAGCCAUUAGCCUUGAUGGGGUUGGGUUUGGUGCUAUCUUACGGACUUCUUGUCUCACCAUUGAAAGCACCGGUGAUUUCUUCCCUAUUUUCCUCUCAAACAUAGUCUGCAAGGGGAAGAAAAAGAGAGAGAGAGAGACAUCAGACCAUCAUCAAAGUCGAGGUAAGGAUUUUUUAUCUUUCUUCUUCUCCCUUUUAUGGUCCUAAGCCCUGCCAUUACCAACU
rnacentral:lncRNA from 1 species